rnacentral:tRNA from 1 species
UGUAGCUCAGUGGUAGAGCACUUACCUAACAUGCAUCAGAAUCUGGGUUCAAUUCCCAGCA